AGAAGAGUCAUAUAAGAGACCCGUGAUUUGAAACAAGAUCUCAUUUCUCUUUUGUUCUAGCUUGAAGUGGAUUCUCGAUGGUUCCAUGGGGGCUUUGUGAAAGUUCAGCACCACAAGGGAGGGAAGAGAAGCAGGAUGGUUCUGUGGGGCUUUCAAUUCCUUGAGGCACAGAGAGAUCAACGAAGAAUUAUAGGGUUUCAAGAACAGAACUUGCAAGCAAUCACAAUGACCCGCUCAAGUUGAAGAUCUGUGUCUCCAUGGGAGGGUGAGAAGAGAUGAAAAGAGAUAAGUAACAAGGUUGAGAGGUAGAUGAAGAAGAGGAUUAGAGAUCGAGGAUGAGAGCGCAAGACAGAGGGUUUUGAUACUCUCUUUUUUUAAAUUAUUUUUAUUGCCACAUAUUUUUUUUUUAAUUUGUUAAUGCCGUGUAGGAAAGUCGUCUGCCCAAAAUGAUGGAAAAUUGCCCGUGUGAGUAGUUUGACACAAAUUUAAAAUUUGGAUACUCAACUUGAAACGUUUGAAAAAUGAGUUCCCGAGUUGAAAUUGGUCAAAUUAUUCA